ACGCGAAGAACCUUACCAAGGCUUGACAUGACCGAGAACACGCUAGAGAUAGCGGACUCUUUGGACACUCGGUUACAGGUGGUGCAUGGUUGUCGUCAGCUCGUGUCGUGAGAUGUUGGGUUAAGUCCCGCAACGAGCGCAACCCUCGUCGCAUGUUGCCAGCACGUUAUGGUGGGGACUCAUGUGAGACUGCCGGGGUCAACUCGGAGGAAGGUGGGGAUGACGUCAAAUCAUCAUGCCCCUUAUGUCUUGGGCUUCACGCAUGCUACAAUGGCCGGUACAAAGGGCUGCGAUGUCGUAAGGCGGAGCAAAUCCCAAAAAGCCGGUCUCAGUUCGGAUUGAGGUCUGCAACUCGACCUCAUGAAGUCGGAGUCGCUAGUAAUCGCAGAUCAGCAACGCUGCGGUGAAUACGUUCCCGGGCCUUGUACACACCGAAGGGC
rnacentral:rRNA from 1 species